rnacentral:rRNA from 1 species
CCUAACACAUGCAAGUCGAGCGGUAACAGAGAGUAGCUUGCUACUCUGCUGACGAGCGGCGGACGGGUGAGUAAUGCUUGGGAAUAUGCCUUAUGGUGGGGGACAACAGUUGGAAACGACUGCUAAUACCGCAUAAUGUCUACGGACCAGAGUGGGGGACCUUUGGGCCUCACGCCAUAAGAUUAGCCCAAGUGGGAUUAGCUAGUUGGUGAGGUAAUAGCUCACCAAGGCGACGAUCCCUAGCUGGUUUGAGAGGAUGAUCAGCCACACUGGGACUGAGACACGGCCCAGACUCCUACGGGAGGCAGCAGUGGGGAAUAUUGCACAAUGGGCGCAAGCCUGAUGCAGCCAUGCCGCGUGUGUGAAGAAGGCCUUCGGGUUGUAAAGCACUUUCAGUAAGGAGGAAAGGUUAAGUGUUAAUAGCACUUAGCUGUGACGUUACUUACAGAAGAAGCACCGGCUAACUCCGUGCCAGCAGCCGCGGUAAUACGGAGGGUGCGAGCGUUAAUCGGAAUUACUGGGCGUAAAGCGUACGCAGGCGGUUUGUUGAGCGAGAUGUGAAAGCCCCGGGCUCAACCUGGGAACUGCAUUUCGAACUGGCAAACUAGAGUGUGAUAGAGGGUGGUAGAAUUU